AUUUCCUUCCCUCGCACAAAAAUGGAACCCUAACCCAUUAUCCCUCUAUCUCUCAGCAACCAGCAGCAGCAGCCACCGCCUCCGUCGCCGCCGAACUCUUCUCGUCAGCCAAAGGGUGCCGUCGCACCGGCAGUGACGGACAGAGGGUCAGAUCGAAGUCCUUGGCCGUCGAUCCUCUUCUCCUCCACGUCGUCGCCUCUGUACUUGCAUGUCGAAGCUCGUUGCCGUCUUCUACUCUUCUCUACAUUGUUUUGACGGAUUCGGAAACAACAAGUGAAACUGAAAGCAGUUCCACGGAUUCAGAAAGCAGAAGUGAAUCCGAAAACCAAGAAGAAGAAGAAAUUGAAAAAUAAGCAACAAAGAAAAGAAAACAACCACAGAAAGUGGUUAAAAAAGAAAGCAAAAAAGGAAGCCUGUGCCGAUGGAUUCAGUGAGCACAAGCAAAUCUGAAAGCCAAGAAAAAGAAAUCGAAAAAACUCCGACAGUGAAGAGAAAACAACCGAAGAGGGGUGCAAAAAAAACAAACCAAAUCAAGCAAGCUUGUUCUGACAGAUUCAGAGAGCAAAACUGAAUCUGAAAGCGAAAGUGAACGAGUAAGGAUCAGCGCUGCCAAAAGAAGAAGAGAGGCGUUGCAGCUGUUAAGAGAAAAGAGAGCAAAGAAAAGAAAUGAUGGAGCUCAGACAAUAAACGUUGCUCCGGAUCACUUUGACUCGACAGAGAUGUGAAAUGAUUUAUCUGAGACACUGCCGACUGUAAAUUUGGGUAGCGAACCUCUCUUACAGACUCAGAUGAGCUCCACACCGUCUAUAAAUGCCCCAACCAAUACCAGCACUAUACCUGAUCCUGACCUACAAAUCAUUGAGGUUCGAGAAGAAACUCGUUCCCAACCUUUGGAAAUACUUCCUAUUGCGGUGUCUCUUCUGAGUUCUCUUAAGGAAGAGUUAAUAAAAGAUGACUUUACCUUUGUCCCUUCGAAAAGUCAAACACAAGAAACUUCUGUUAAUGACAGCCUUCUGGAACCGCAACAGCAGCCCUGCAAAGAAGCACCAGCACGGCAAUCAGAACAAGAAGCACCUGUCGAUGUAUAAGUUUUACUGCUUGUUUAAAACUGCCGUCCUCCGAAACCCAAAAAGCAAGCUGGUGAGGAAUCUUCCUUGACGAAGACGAAGCCAGAACCUCCGUUGAAUGUUGCAGCAGCCCUCUCGAAGAAAAACAGCAAGCGUGCCAAGAAGCUUUGGCGGCACGGCAAUUGGAAAAAGAAGCACAGCCUGAUUUAAUCGGAAAAACAGGCUGCCGAGGGAUCUUGCCCAAGGAAGACAGAGCCAGAACCUCCGUUGAAUGUUGCUGCUCGUCCUUCUUUGUGGAAACAUGAUGCACCUUCGUUCUACCUUGGCAUAAGUCCCCUGACAUCUCAACCAACUCCUCCGACCUCUCAGCCGACGGUGUCACAGCUUGAAAUCCUGGCAGAGGCAGUGGUAGAUGCUGGGGUAACAACGACAUUGAAAUUUUCUGAAGC